rfam:Otolemur garnettii contig179126, whole genome shotgun sequence.
GGUGCUGUGGCUCAAAAGGGUAGGGCACCGGCUCCAUAUGCCGGAGGUAGUGGGUUCAAACCCAGCCGCGGCCA